CAGCUCCGUGAUUUCGAAGUUCGAUUUGGAACUCUUCAUCUCUUCAAUCAGAGAUCGAUCGCAGAAAAACACUACACUUUCGUUGCAGAGUUGAGUCGGAAAAAUGAAAUACCUGCUUCAAGGUCAGGUGCUCAUUCACUUCCUAAAUCCAAUAAGAAUAAUGUGCUCAGUACAAGCCACUCAAAGCAUAAUCAGAUUGGUCAAACAGAUAUAUAUUGUUCAAAAGAGUGCAAGAAUACAAGACCCCUUUAAAAAUACUAAAAGUUCUUCAAAUAAAGCAAAGGCUGGUUGUGAUUCCUCAUCUUUGUCUGCAAAAUCACCACUUCAGCAUCCUAGAAGGAAUAUGGUAAGACUCCAAAAGAUCUUUUGACUAUUGGCUUAGUGAAACAUCGUCAUAGA